rnacentral:snRNA from 1 species
UUAAAUUAAAGUUUCACACAAAUA